UACGUAGGGUGCAAGCGUUGUCCGGAAUUAUUGGGCGUAAAGAGCUCGUAGGCGGUUUGUUGCGUCGGCUGUGAAAUCCCGAGGCUCAACCUCGGGUCUGCAGUCGAUACGAGCAAACUAGAGUGUUGCAGGGGGGACUGGAAUUCCUGGUGUAGCGGUGAAAUGCGCAGAUAUCAGGAGGAACACCGGUGGCGAAGGCGGGUCUCUGGGCAACAACUGACGCUGAGG
rnacentral:rRNA from 1 species